rnacentral:lncRNA from 1 species
GAAAUGAAAUCUGCACGGCGAAGAUUGUAAUUAGAGAAAUACCAAGGGGUGUGACUCGAAAUUUCUCGCUUUAUUUUCUGGUACCUCCUUCCCAGCACAGCACAAAGCCGCCGGCCGCCGCGUAGGAGCCGCGUCAAACUCCGCCGGCCGCGUCCAAUCUGUCAAUUCCAACGCCAUCGUCGCGAUACGCUAACGCACGAACUAUUCCAUUGUAGAAGUCUCCCCUUCUCCUUUGGUCCGUCCCCCGGCACUGGCAGCAGCAUGUCGUCUCCCAUUCCACUCAUUUUAUCAAUAGCAAUUAGUUAAGGAUACCAAACAAUCCGAGGCAGGAGAGGAGCAAGGAGAGGGAGGAACAAGGGAAUCCAUAUCUGGAAAGGCCAUUUAGAUCCCUGGCUCCAGAUAGAAAAGAAAACGAGGCCUGGUUUCUUCCAGCACGGCGGAUCCUCCCCCCU